rnacentral:lncRNA from 1 species
GUUCUAGGGCCCCGGCGAUGGGGAGAAUGCAGCUGCUCGGCUUUUUUUAAACUCAAACUUGUAUGCUUCUCCAGCAGAUGAUUGCUAAUACUGCUAUGGCUGGACAAGCCUCGUUCUAAUUUUUUGAGUUACCAAUAAAAUGUUUUUGCCAAGCUGCCUUCUUUGAGGAGGAGAGGGGCUUGAUGAUGCCUCACCCAGCUGGGCAGAGCGGGGUGCUAUAUGACUGAUCAUUUCCAGAGAAGAUGAUGACAUUGGAAGGAGACAAUUACCCGCCUCUAGUCCUGACCCUUCACUCAAGCCCCAGGGCUGCCUCAAACAAUCCAUGGCCAUGGCACCUUCAGCCUCUCAUUUGCAUCACUGUCAGAGCUGUCCAGUCACCCUGGGAGGCUUUAUGCUUCUGCCAGAGGUACAUCAUUCCCCAGGAUGGUGCCAGGCCUGCCUUUGCAACCAACCUCUGCUUUGAAUUCUCUACCUGUGGCAAGUCUUCCUCCUUUUGGAAACAACUAGAAGUUACCAAGGAUGAUGAGCAAGUUGGACAAUCAAAUUAG